rnacentral:rRNA from 1 species
AUGAAAAUCCUCAGUUGGAACUGUCGAGGGAUGGGGCAACCUCAUACAGUUCAAGAGCUUGUGUGUCUAUCUAAGACGCACCAUCCUAAUGUUAUCUUUCUUUCCGAAACUAGGAAAAAUAAAGAGUAUGUUGAGCUUUUGCGUUACCGGUUGGGUAUGAAUAAUGUGUUUACUAUUUUUGGUCAUGGUAAAGGUGGAGGCCUGGCUGUGUUUUGGGAUGAAGCAUACUCUUGUGAGCUGAACAAAUUUGGUGAACACUUUGUGGAUAUGUACGUCAACAAGGGUGAUGGUACAAAGUGGAGGUGCACCUUUAUUUAUGGAGAACCUAAGGCGAGCCUGAGGUACGUGAUGUGGGAUCUUUUGAGGAGGAUUAAACCUCUUGGUGUUGGGCCUUGGUUUAUGGUUGGGGAUUUUAACGAAGCUAUGUCACAAAAUGAGCACUUUUCUCGUCAUAAGAGAUCUGCUAGACUCAUGGCCAAUUUUCAUGAAAUUCUGUCGGAUUGCAAUUUAUUUGAUUUGGGCUUUCAUGGUGUUCCAUGGACGUAUAAUAAUAAGCAAGAGAGUGACAAGAAUGUAAAGGUACGUCUUGACCGUGCAGUGGCCUGCCCGCUUUGGUCUUCUAUUUUCCCGCAGUGUAAGGUCUCCCAUGUUAUUAGCUCCAGGUCUGAUCACUGCCCCAUUUUAAUUGAGUUGAUGGGUAAUGUGCGGGGUGGUAGGUUUGCUAAGUAG